rnacentral:rRNA from 1 species
ACGUGCAAGUCGAACGCGAAAUCCCGAGCAAUCGGGAAAGUAGAGUGGCGCACGGGUGAGUAACACGUAGGUAAUCUACCUUCGGGUGGGGAAUAACAACCGGAAACGGUUGCUAAUACCGCAUAAUGCAGCGGCACCUAAUGGUGACAGUUGUUAAAGCGGGGGAUCGCAAGAUCUCGCGCCUGAAGAGGAGCCUGCGGCGGAUUAGCUAGUUGGUAGGGUAAUGGCCUACCAAGGCGACGAUCCGUAACCGGCCUGAGAGGGCGGUCGGUCACACUGACACUGACAUACGGGUCAGACUCCUACGGGAGGCAGCAGUCGGGAAUUUUGGGCAAUGGGCGAAAGCCUGACCCAGCAACGCCGCGUGAAGGAUGAAAUCCCUCGGGAUGUAAACUUCGCAAGAACGGGAAGAAUAAGUAGGGGAUAAUACCCCCUAUGAUGACGGUACCGUUUGUAAGCUCCGGCUAACUCCGUGCCAGCAGCCGCGGUAAUACGGGGGGAGCAAGCGUUGUUCGGAUUUACUGGGCGUAAAGGGCGCGUAGGCGGCCAGCACAAGUCAGUUGUGAAAUCUCCGAGCUUAACUCGGAAAGGUCAACUGAUACUGUGCGGCUAGAGUGCGGAAGGGGCAACUGGAAUUCUUGGUGUAGCGGUGAAAUGCGUAGAUAUCAAGAGGAACACCUGCGGCGAAGGCGGGUUGCUGGGCCGACACUGACGCUGAGGCGCGAAAGCUAGG